CAAUCGCAGUGCUCUAAUAUACAACUACGCCAUUACGCUCGAUAUGAUUCCUACACACGCAUCAGUUUAUGAAUGAAACCGCCAGUGGAGUCGCUGUGUUAGUAAAUGGAUUAUCGAAAAACAUUUCGAUAGACAUGCAUCAUAAUUAGCUAAAUCAGAUUGAAUCAGUGUCAUUGAGCAUGUUGUUUCCUUUGAAAUAUAUGCUGACAGUUUGGGUCAGAUAACAGGAUGGGAACGCUCAUAUACGGACAUUUGAGGUUAAAAUCUGCCCCAUGUGCUUUCAAAAUGAAGGGGAUGAAGGGAAGAGAAGCUGCAUAAAACAAAGAAAUGCAUACAAACUGCUCAAAGAACAUCUUCCAUGAAGAGGCAACCCUCCACAAAAGCCUUGCCCAGAGUGGCAAACUGGUCUGGUGAACACAGGACCACCACACCAA